rnacentral:rRNA from 1 species
AGUGAACGCUGGCGGUAGGCCUAACACAUGCAAGUCGAACGGCAGCACAGUAAGAGCUUGCUCUUACGGGUGGCGAGUGGCGGACGGGUGAGGAAUACAUCGGAAUCUACUUUUUCGUGGGAGAUAACGUAGGGAAACUUACGCUAAUACCGCAUACGACCUACGGGUGAAAGCAGGGGAUCUUCGGACCUUGCGCGAUUGAAUGAGCCGAUGUCGGAGUAGCUAGUUGGCGGGGUAAAGGCCCACCAAGGCGACGAUCCGUAGCUGGUCUGAGAGGAGGAUCAGCCACACUGGAACUGAGACACGGUCCAGACUCCUACGGUAGGCAGCAGUGGGGAAUAUUGGACAAUGGGCGCAAGCCUGAUCCAGCCAUACCGCGUGGGUGAAGAAGGCCUUCGGGUUGUAAAGCCCUUUUGUUGGGAAAGAAAAGCAGCAGGUUAAUACCCCGCUGUUCUGACGGUACCCAAAGAAUAAGCACCGGCUAACUUCGUG